GAAUAUGAAGCGAUAAAUUGCAAUUAGUUUCGACCUAAUCUUAGAUGUCCUCAUCCUUAUUCU
rnacentral:tRNA from 1 species